rnacentral:rRNA from 1 species
UACGGAGGAUCCGAGCGUUAUCCGGAUUUAUUGGGUUUAAAGGGUGCGCAGGCGGACUGGUAAGUCAGGGGUGAAAUUCUACGGCUCAACUGUAGGCGUGCCUUUGAUACUGCCGGACUAGAGUUAAGUUGGAGUGGGCGGAAUGUGUUGUGUAGCGGUGAAAUGCUUAGAUAUAACACAGAACACCGAUCGCGAAGGCAGCUCACUAAACUUAGACUGACGCUCAUGCACGAAAGCGUGGGGAUCAAACAGGAUUAGAUACCCUGGUAGUCCACGCUGUAAACGAUGAUCACUCGCUGUUGGCGAUAUACAGUCAGUGGCUAAGCGAAAGUGAUAAGUGAUCCACCUGGGGAGUACGACCGCAAGGUUGAA